rnacentral:tRNA from 1 species
GCCUUGGUCGGGUAGUUGCGACAGGGAUGCGACAAAGGGCCAAGAAUUUACAGUUUAACUGUCAUUUUCGCGGACUGAAAAUCCGUGUGUCGGUGGUUCGAACCCGCCCCUGGGCACCA